rnacentral:lncRNA from 1 species
AUGUUCAGCUGCCGGACAAAGCCGAUUCCCAGCGCUCCCAGAAUUCCCAGAAUUCCUGGAAUUCCCGGGAAUACUCACACACGUUCAGCUGCCGGACAAAGCCGAUUCCGGAGCUCCCAGAAUUCCCAGAAUUCCCGGAAUUCCCGGGAAUACUCACACACGUUCAGCUGCCGCACGAAGCCGAUUCCGGAGCUCCCAGAAUUCCCAGAAUUCCCGGAAUUCCCGGGAAUACUCACACACGUUCAGCUGCCGGACGAAGCCGAUUCCGGAGCUCCCAGAAUUCCCAGAAUUCCCGGAAUUCCCGGGAAUACUCACACAUGUUCAGCUGCCGGACAAAGCCGAUUCCCAGCGCUCCCAGAAUUCCCAGAAUUCCUGGAAUUCCCGGGAAUACUCACACACGUUCAGCUGCCGGACAAAGCCGAUUCCGGAGCUCCCAGAAUUCCCAGAAUUCCCGGAAUUCCCGGGAAUACUCACACACGUUCAGCUGCCGCACGAAGCCGAUUCCGGAGCUCCCAGAAUUCCCAGAAUUCCCGGAAUUCCCGGGAAUACUCACACACGUUCAGCUGCCGGACGAAGCCGAUUCCGGAGCUCCCAGAAUUCCCAGAAUUCCCGGAAUUCCCGGGAAUACUCACACAUGUUCAGCUGCCGGACGAAGCUGGCCAUGUUGUUGUGUUUGAAGUACUUGGGCAGCACCUCCUUGGCGAACUGGCCCUGGUCGAAGACGUGGAAGCUGCUCCCGCUCUGCCCAUGGAAAAAAACCGGGAAAAGCGGGAUCAUUCCCGGCCUCUGGAAUGCCAAUGGAAUGCUGGGCGAUCCCAGGUUUGGGGUGGAGUCGCCCAAGGUUGGGAUUUUUGGGGUUUUUGGGAGCUGUUCCCAGAGAAAAUCGGGAUCCGCCGCGUUCGCGAUUGGGCAGAAUUCCAGAGGAAUUCUGGACGUUUCUCCAGCCCUGUAGGGAAAACCGGGAUCAUUCCCGGCCUCUGGAAUGCCAAUGGAAUUCUGGGCGAUCCCAGGUUUAUGCUGGAGUCGCCCAAGGUUGGAAUUUUAGGGGUUUUUGGGGUUUUAAUGGGGUUUUUUGGGAGCUGUUCCCAGCAGGGAAUUGGGAUCCGCCUCGAUCCCGAGAUUCCCAAUGGGAUCGGAAUUCCGGAGGUUCCUGCGCUCUCUGCCAGGGAAAACCGGGAUCAUUCCCGGCCUCUGGAAUCCUCCUAG